rnacentral:lncRNA from 1 species
GUAGUCUUUUUUUUUUAAACCCCUUGUUUGAAAUACAUAUUAUAUAUCUUUAAUAUAUAUAUAUAUAGCAUAUAUAGUGUACAUUAGUGUAAGUUAACAUUUUCAGUUAACAGUACUUUGUAAUUUGUAGCCAGCUUUCUAUUUGAAACUAUUUCAUUAAAUCUUAAGUUUCUGGGUUUUGUUUUGCUAACAAUAAUGAAAAUGAUUGGUACCUCCCCUUUUCAGUAGAUCUCAGGACAGAUAUUUAGUGUUGUCAACUCCUUGAAAAGCCCAGUGCUCUUAAUAAAAAUUACCAGUAGCUAAUUUUUGAGACAAUGAAUGAGAAAUACUUAAGUGGAAUAGCAUUUUGACUGUUUACAUAUUAAUAAUACUUGGAAAUGUGCUUGAUUAAAGUGAGAAUUAGCAUAGCUCUUCAAGAAAUGCCUGAGGUAGUAACUUAAAAGGCAGGGCAACCUUAGGCUAAAGUGUCAUUACUGUAAUUAUCCCAGGGAGGGUUAGCCCUUUAAAGAUGCAGUUGGUAUCUCAGCCCGUUUAUUAUUGAGUUAAACAUUUGCACAGUUGAAGUGGAAUUAAGCUCCUGUAGUUAUGAAAAGAAAUCUUUAUAGGUGGAAUCUACUUUUAAUAACCUUGGAAGUCAUCAAAUUUUGAGAGUCAACUUUCAUUAAAAUGUAACUAUGUCUUACAUGCUAAAAUAUCAGAUUAGUGUAGAUUUUAAGUAGUAGGAAAGUUUGGAGUGGGACAAGUCUACAAGGGAUUUUAGUGCAACCCAGGGUAGGUGUCUGAGGAGAGGUAAACCGUGCUGGGAUCUUUCUAUGAACGAUUUGGGUGACAGGUGCACUUUAUAAGACUUACUGUGUUUGAAGUGUGGGUUUCUUGAUGUUUACGUUCAUUUUUUGUUGCUGUUUUGUGACCAUUAGAAGCGUAACCACAAGUUGGCAGUGAUUAAGCUCUUGGUCAUCUGAAAUACAGAGAAACUUACUGCAUGCGUGAUGGCAUGUAACUGAGUCUUUUAUUUAUAGGGAUACAAAAGCGACUCUGAUUCUUUGGAGUAUUUUAUGUAUUUACUUUCAAAUUCUGACUUUUACUAAAGUGUUUCCUGGUUGAACAUGGCCUGUCUGGCUCUGACAUAAGUCUUGCACUUGCACAUUAUAGCUCUUCCCAUUUGAAAUAUUGGGAAGGAGUAUCAGAAUCCCCAGCCAUCUGGCUGUAGUGGCAGACUCCUUUAAUACUAGUACUCUGAGGAAAGGACCAGCUAAUCUCUGAGGCUGAGGCCAAUCUGGUCUACAUAUCCAGUUCUAGUGCCACAUAAUGAGACUGUCUUAAAAAACAAAACAGAAAAACAAAACAAACAAAGCACACCAACUUGAUGUUCCCUAAAUCUUUCUGUAACUCCUCAGCACCGCUAGCAUCCGUGUUUAGCCUGUGGUGUUACUUACAAUAAGCUAAUGUUUUUGUUUUCUUUGGGACUUGUCUGUUGGUUGGUUUUUAUGUACCAUGUGUUCUGAAAAGUGCAUUUCUUUAACCACAUAUUGCUCUGGGAGCUUGUAGCUUGCCUUCAGCAUUGCACAGAUAAAAAUCAUGACAUUCAACACAGACAGAAAUACCUUCACGUUUUGCAAAUCAUAACUCCCUCAGGGCUGAAGAGAUGACUCAGCUGUUAAGAGCAUGUACUGCUCUUCCAGAGGACUUGCGUUCGUUUCCCAGCACCCUCCUCAACUGGCUCAUGGUCCCUGUUCACUUGUGCUCCAGGGAUCCACUGCCUCUGGCCUUGUAGACUAUUUCUACUUACAUGUACAUACCCACACAUAGACAGACACGUAUGUGCAAAGUUAAAAAUAAAACCUUUGAAAACACUAGAAUACUAUUUAGCUGUAUAUAUAAGUAUAAAGGUGGCAGAAUUCAAAUUCUGCGUAUUCAUAUAUACAAUCUAAUGUUUUUAAUUGACUAAUACCUAAUUUGUUGAAAAGCUUUAAAAGCACCAGGCUCCCUAUUUUAUUUAAUCCUGUGUAGUGUUCAGGGCACAGAUUAGACUUAAGCUGACAGUAGGGUAACCUGAGGACAGUUGCUGAAUGGGUUUCUAAUGUUUCGGUACAGCUAACUGGAUAUGCAUUUAUAUCUGCUGUUUUACUUAUUCCAGAGCACUCCCCAUAUGGUCCCUCACCAUUGGGCCGACCUCCAUCUGAAACGAGAGCUUUUCUCUCUCCUCCAACUUUGUUGGAGGGUCCACUAAGACUCUCACCUUUGCUUCCAGGGGGAGGAGGAAGAGGUAUAUUUGUUUAAACAUUUUUACUACUCUUAAAUUCCUUCCUUCCUUUAUAUUUUCAUCUCAACUUACCUUUAAAGUCUACAAAUAGUCAUUUGGCAAAUACAGGCAUUCCUUGCACUUAUCAGAGAUAUGCUUUUUUUUUUUUUAAACUGGAGAGAGAAUAUUUGACCAGAUUUUAAUCCCAGCAGUUGGGAGGCAGAAGCAGGCGGAUCUCUGUUAGUCUGAGGCCAGCCUGGUGUACAUAGUACUUUCCAGGCUAUUCAAAGCUGCAUAGUAAGAUUCUGCUUC